rnacentral:rRNA from 1 species
UACGAAGGGGGCUAGCGUUGCUCGGAAUCACUGGGCGUAAAGCGCACGUAGGCGGAUUGUUAAGUCAGGGGUGAAAUCCUGGAGCUCAACUCCAGAACUGCCUUUGAUACUGGCGAUCUUGAGUCCGGGAGAGGUGAGUGGAACUGCGAGUGUAGAGGUGAAAUUCGUAGAUAUUCGUCAAGAACACCAGUGGCGAAAGGCGGCUCACCUGGCCCGGUAC